ACCAUCAUCGAUGAGGUGGUCCCA
rnacentral:siRNA from 1 species